UAUAAAUAUAAUAUAAAUGUAGUUAAAACAAAAAAAUAACUGCAUAAAUUCCAGAAAAUAAUUGGAUUUUUAUAAAGAUACGUAUUAAGGAUACUAAAACGUACUUUUAUUCUUUUUUAUAGGCUACACAUAAAGAUAACACAUAAGAAUAGAGAAGAAUUACAUUUACAUAAGAAUAAAUUUGUCCAGCACUUCGCGUUUUUAUUCCUCGAUAAAUCAUCAGAUAACGAGACCAAGCGAUAAUUAUCGCGAGUAAUGCAUUCUCAAACAAACGAGGGUUUGAGCACUUAACUUCCCGGGGUGCGAGACCACUUCUGUGCAGCCCUUCACGGUGCAAGUCCAAAGAGAACGGAGGGUUGUGUAGGCAUAUUCAGCCAAUUAACGAGCGGAGCCCUCAUUUUUUUCUGCGACGGAUUUUUCGUAUUUAUUGUCUUUUUAUUCGACAUAGGGGCAUUUCUCCGUCGCUGCACACACGCAUGGCUAUCGGCGUCUGCGAAACCUAAUUGCGCGGUGUUCCGAGAACAAAGGAGUCGGUGGCUCUUUAUGACGGACAAAACAACUACUACGCGGGGUGAUUGUCCCUCUUCAACACGCAAACCCUUAUUUUUUCGGUUAUGAACUCGCGUCCCUUACACGCAGCUUACACGCGUCGUCAAUUGCAGAAAACGAGUUGCAUGGAUGAAAAGAGAAUAUUGAUUGAAGAAAAGAAAGAUGGAAAGGUUUGGUACUUAGCAGAUAAACAGUAUUCCCUAUCUUCCUUUUUUCAAAGAAGAUAUGAGAAUUAUAAAUAAAAAAAGUUGUGCAAUCGAUGAUGAUAAAGCUAAUUUACGCGAGAGCAUUUAAAUUACCGAAUAAUACUUAUAAAUUUGUUCAAGAAUUUUAGGUGAAAGUUUUUGCAUAUAAUUGUUAAUAGCGGAUGAAAGGAAGGUAACGAAUGUGACGAGAAUGGUAAAUUAAAAAAUGGAUAACACUUUUAAAGCAGUUUUAUUAGACUCGGAUAGUAAUCGUUAACAAUAAUGCACAACAGUGAAAUAAAUAACGAACAGAUUCAAGGUAACGAUUACGAGUACGCAUAAUUUUCCUACGAUCUCAUCGGAAUUGCAAAAAUAUUUGCUUGAAGAGAUAACAAUUGCAUACUACUUAAAGGAAUAUUAAUUUUUAUAUUAAAUAACACUCAGGGGCAUGCUUUACAGUACGAAAUUUCGGGAUGAAAUUAAAUGCAUCGUACCUUCAAACAUUCGUAACACAAACGAUAAACGUCUAAUUAUUUUAAUUAUAUUUUACAAUAAUAGAAAUAUACAUUAUAAAAUAAAAUCUUGUUUCUGCAGUUAAUAUGUUGAUAUGACAUGAUGAAUGAUGUCAGCAGAUGAUACUGGUGUCAAUAAAAUCUACAGAUUGCGACAUGUAUACGCACGAACAACGCGAUUUCGUUCGAAAUCACGAAAUGUGGAAUGGAAACGACAAUCCGUGAUUUCGAAUGAUCCGCGUGAGCAACAUCUACAUUAAAUAAUUUUUAUAUUAAAUUUCCCUUCGACCCGCGAGCGGACUAUGUACAUAUCGUGAUCGUACGUAAGCGUGAGACAGGUAUGGCGAGAUAAAUCACGGCGAAGACACCAUGCGUUUCCGUACAAAACUUGUGUGACUUCCGUUUAAUUAUCACAUUCCGGGUUACUACUAUUUCGCGUGUCGUAGUAACGUAUAAUUAAUCUUCUGUUUAGCGUACGGAUUAAUGUUACGUGAAAGAUGAUCUCAAGUAGGGAGCUCUCGCGAUUUAAGUAGUCAUCGCAGUGGCUCAUCAAUAUUAAAA